AAAAACAUGUCCUUUAGAAAUUGUAAUUUUAGGUCUGAUCUGCCCAGUGAUUUAAUUAAACGGCCGCAGUAUUUUGACUGUGCGAAGGUAGCAUAAUCACUUGUCUUUUAAUUGAAGGCUAGAAUGAAUGGUUGGACGAGAAAUAAACUUUCUUUAUUUAAAUUUUAUGAAUUUGAUUUUUGAGUUAAAAAGCUUAAAUUUUUUUGCAAGACGAGAAGACCCUAUAGAAUUUUAUUAAACUAGUUAUUUUUAUUUUUUGGAUUAAUAAUUUGAUGAAUUUAAUUAUUUUAAUUUUGUUGGGGCGACAGUGAAAAUUGAUUAACUUUCAUAUUUAAUUUGUCAUUAAUUAAUGUAAUUUUUGAUCCUUUAUUAUGGAUUAUUAGAUUAAAUUACCUUAGGGAUAACAGCGUAAUUUAUUCGGAGAGUUCUUAUCGAUGAAUUAGUUUGCGACCUCGAUGUUGGAUUAAAAUUAGUUGUGGGUGCAGC
rnacentral:rRNA from 1 species